UGCUUUCUUUGGAAGCAAUAUAAUAAAAUGGGAACAGUAUAAAGGAGACUAGUAAGUCCUAUGCACAAGGAUCACACACUAGUUUCUGAAGCCUUCUAUAUUUUU
rnacentral:snRNA from 1 species